CCCUACGGGGGGCAGCAGUGGGGGAUAUUGCACAAUGGGGGAAACCCUGAUGCAGCGACGCCGCGUGUGGGAAGACGGUCCUCUGGAUUGUAAACCACUGUCCCCAGGGACGAAAAUGACGGUACCUGACUAAGAAGCCCCGGCUAACUACGUGCCAGCAGCCGCGGUAAUACGUAGGGGGCAAGCGUUAUCCGGAUUUACUGGGUGUAAAGGGAGCGUAGGCGGCAAGGUAAGCCAGAAGUGAAAGCCCGCGGCUCAACUGCG
rnacentral:rRNA from 1 species